AACGAACGCUGGCGGCAGGCCUAACACAUGCAAGUCGAGCGCGCCUUUCGGGGUGAGCGGCGGACGGGUUAGUAACGCGUGGGAAUAUACCCCUUUUCUACGGAAUAGCCUCUGGAAACGGAGAGUAAUACCGUAUGAGCCCUUCGGGGGAAAGAUUUAUCGGGAAAGGAUUAGCCCGCGUUAGAUUAGGUAGUUGGUGGGGUAAUGG
rnacentral:rRNA from 1 species